GCGCGGAAGAUGUAACGGGGCUAAACCAUGCACCGAAGCUGCGGCAGCGACGCUGAUGCGUUGUUGGGUAGGGGAGCGUUCUGUAAGCCUGUGAAGGUGGCCUGUGAGGGUUGCUGGAGGUAUCAGAAGUGCGAAUGCUGACAUAAGUAACGAUAAAGCGGGUGAAAAGCCCGCUCGCCGGAAGACCAAGGGUUCCUGUCCAACGUUAAUCGGGGCAGGGUGAGUCGACCCCUAAGGCGAGGCCGAAAGGCGUAGUCGAUGGGAAACGGGUUAAUAUUCCCGUACUUGGUGUUACUGCGAAGGGGGGACGGAGAAGGCUAUGUUGGCCGGGCGACGGUUGUCCCGGUUUAAGCGUGUAGGUGUGUGUUCCAGGUAAAUCCGGUUCACUUUAACACUGAGGCGUGAUGACGAGGCACUACGGUGCUGAAGCAACAAAUGCCCUGCUUCCAGGAAAAGCCUCUAAGCAUCAGGUAACAUCAAAUCGUACCCCAAACCGACACAGGUGGUCAGGUAGAGAAUACCAAGGCGCUUGAGAGAACUCGGGUGAAGGAACUAGGCAAAAUGGUGCCGUAACUUCGGGAGAAGGCACGCUGACAC
rnacentral:rRNA from 1 species